UUUAUUGGAGAGUUUGAUCCUGGCUCAGGAUGAACGCUGGCGGCGUGCCUAAUACAUGCAAGUCGAGCGAAUGGAUUAAGAGCUUGCUCUUAUGAAGUUAGCGGCGGACGGGUGAGUAACACGUGGGUAACCUGCCCAUAAGACUGGGAUAACUCCGGGAAACCGGGGCUAAUACCGGAUAACAUUUUGAACCGCAUGGUUCGAAAUUGAAAGGCGGCUUCGGCU
rnacentral:rRNA from 1 species